rnacentral:rRNA from 1 species
AACGAACGCUGGCGGCAUGCCUAACACAUGCAAGUCGAACGAGACCUUCGGGUCUAGUGGCGCACGGGUGCGUAACGCGUGGGAACCUGCCCUUAGGUUCGGAAUAACUCCCCGAAAGGGGUGCUAAUACCGGAUAAUGUCUUCGGACCAAAGAUUUAUCGCCUUUGGAUGGGCCCGCGUUGGAUUAGCUAGUUGGUAGGGUAAAAGCCUACCAAGGCGACGAUCCAUAGCUGGUCGGAGAGGAUGAUCAGCCACACUGGGACUGAGACACGGCCCAGACUCCUACGGGAGGCAGCAGUGGGGAAUAUUGGACAAUGGGCGAAAGCCUGAUCCAGCAAGGCCGCGUGAGUGAUGAAGGCCUUAGGGUUGUAAAGCUCUUUUACCCGGGAUGAUAAUGACAGUACCGGGAGAAUAAGCUCCGGCUAACUCCGUG